AGAGUUUGAUCCUGGCUCAGAUUGAACGCUGGCGGCAUGCCUUACACAUGCAAGUCGAACGGCAGCACGGGGGCAACCCUGGUGGCGAGUGGCGAACGGGUGAGUAAUACAUCGGAACGUGUCCUGUAGUGGGGGAUAGCCCGGCGAAAGCCGGAUUAAUACCGCAUACGAUCUACGGAAGAAAGCGGGGGACCGAAAGGCCUCGCGCUAUAGGGGCGGCCGAUGGCAGAUUAGCUAGUUGGUGGGGUAAAGGCCUACCAAGGCGACGAUCUGUAGCUGGUCUGAGAGGACGACCAGCCACACUGGGACUGAGACACGGCCCAGACUCCUACGGGAGGCAGCAGUGGGGAAUUUUGGACAAUGGGGGAAACCCUGAUCCAGCAAUGCCGCGUGUGUGAAGAAGGCCUUCGGGUUGUAAA
rnacentral:rRNA from 1 species